rnacentral:rRNA from 1 species
AAAAGUGAAAGACGGUCUUGCUGUCACUUAUAGAUGGAUCCGCGCUGCAUUAGCUAGUUGGUAAGGUAACGGCUUACCAAGGCAACGAUGCAUAGCCGACCUGAGAGGGUGAUCGGCCACACUGGAACUGAGACACGGUCCAGACUCCUACGGGAGGCAGCAGUAGGGAAUCUUCCGCAAUGGGCGAAAGCCUGACGGAGCAACGCCGCGUGAGUGAUGAAGGUCUUCGGAUCGUAAAACUCUGUUAUUAGGGAAGAACAUAUGUGUAAGUAACUGUGCACAUCUUGACGGUACCUAAUCAGAAAGCCACGGCUAACUACGUGCCAGCAGCCGCGGUAAUACGUAGGUGGCAAGCGUUAUCCGGAAUUAUUGGGCGUAAAGCGCGCGUAGGCGGUUUUUUAAGUCUGAUGUGAAAGCCCACGGCUCAACCGUGGAGGGUCAUUGGAAACUGGAAAACUUGAGUGCAGAAGAGGAAAGUGGAAUUCCAUGUGUAGCGGUGAAAUGCGCAGAGAUAUGGAGGAACACCAGUGGCGAAGGCGACUUUCUGGUCUGUAACUGACGCUGAUGUGCGAAAGCGUGGGGAUCAAACAGGAUUAGAUACCCUGGUAGUCCACGCCGUAAACGAUGAGUGCUAAGUGUUAGGGGGUUUCCGCCCCUUAGUGCUGCAGCUAACGCAUUAAGCACUCCGCCUGGGGAGUACGACCGCAAGGUUGAAACUCAAAGGAAUUGACGGGGACCCGCACAAGCGGUGGAGCAUGUGGUUUAAUUCGAAGCAACGCGAAGAACCUUACCAAAUCUUGACAUCCUUUGACAACUCUAGAGAUAGAGCCUUCCCCUUCGGGGGACAAAGUGACAGGUGGUGCAUGGUUGUCGUCAGCUCGUGUCGUGAGAUGUUGGGUUAAGUCCCGCAACGAGCGCAACCCUUAAGCUUAGUUGCCAUCAUUAAGUUGGGCACUCUAAGUUGACUGCCGGUGACAAACCGGAGGAAGGUGGGGAUGACGUCAAAUCAUCAUGCCCCUUAUGAUUUGGGCUACACACGUGCUACAAUGGACAAUACAAAGGGCAGCGAAACCGCGAGGUCAAGCAAAUCCCAUAAAGUUGUUCUCAGUUCGGAUUGUAGUCUGCAACUCGACUACAUGAAGCUGGAAUCGCUAGUAAUCGUAGAUCAGCAUGCUACGGUGAAUACGUUCCCAGGUCUUGUACACACCGCCCGUCACACCACGAGAGUUUGUAACACCCGAAGCCGGUGGAGUAACCUUUUAGGAGCUAGCCGUCGAAGGUGGGACAAAUGAUUGGGGUGAAGUCGUAACAAGGUAGCCGUAUCGGAAGGUGCGGCUGGAUCACCUCCUUU